CGGACGCGCUUCCGACCGUGACACGCGCCCGAAUGACGCCUAAGCCAAGGGCCAGGGGUCUCGGCGACGGAGACGGGGCCCGCGGGAGGGCUGUGCUGACAUCACCAGGAAGGGGGAUCGGGAGGAACCGUUAAUAUGUAGUUAAACGUUCUUAAUCUCCCCCAGCAUAUGCUGUUGCACCUAACUUUGAUCAACUUAAGUGUAAAAACGUCUCUGUGCCUCCACUCGGGUUUUACCGCCGUCUGGUUUAAUUAGUCCUCGGGUAGCCGGCCACCGACUUAAUGGCAGAACGCUGCCGGGCCAAUCAGAGGGCCGGCUGCCACCACCAGGGUCCCCCCUGUUCCUCCCCAACCCACUGACGGGAGGUCGAGGCGGAGAUACACCUGUUGGUGGGCUGGGCACGGGUGGUGAGCACCAGGGACAGUGGGCACAGGGGGAUGGUGGGGCCGGGGACGGUGGGCACAGGGGGACGACGGGCACAGGGGGCUGGUGGGCACAGGGGGCGGUGGGCACGGGUGGGUGAGGCUGGCAGGACAGCCGCCUGGGUCGCCCCGGGCAGGGUGGGGCCUGUGUUCGGACGCUGGAGGAAGGACUCCUGCCCACAAAGGCUGGUGGAGAUCCCAGGUGGCCCAGACUGGGAAGCUUUGCUGGGGAGACCUGACACGGCCUCCUGUCUGAACCCCCUGAACCCCAUUCUUCAGUGAAACCUGGGAUGACCCCCUGUGGAGCCCCCGUGGAACCCGGUGCCUUUGCUCGUUCCUCCCUUCAGACUUCAGACGCUAGUGUUCAGCAGGGUGUGGUGGUGCCCUGUGAAUGGGCGACAGAGGCCCCCUCCCCUCCACAGAAGGCUUCAGGAGUGGCCUUGGGGUGGGCUACUGGGACGGUGACCUUGGCAAACCCUAUUCCAGGAAAGGAGGGGUGGAGGGUGGAGAGCAGGGGGCGGGCAGGUGGAGGUGAGUGUCCGCUGAGAAGGCAAGAGAGGAGCCAGGGGGCCCAGGGCGGGGGAGGCCCAGGCACCAAGGGACGGGGGAGGGUGACGACAGGGGCAGAAAGCUUCUUGCACGGGGCACCAGAGCCCCGUGUCAGCGAGCUGGGCACGGCUGCGCCCCUGGGGAGGCCGGGCCCUUGGCUCAGGACCGUCGUCGUCCUGCCACUUGCCGAUGGGACGAGCCCACCCUUGGGCCCCCGUGGUUUCCCCGUAACCGUGGAAAUGACGCCGUUGACCCUGCAUGCAGUUCUGCAGGCUGCAGAUCAUUUGCCACGGCCAGUGACGGCCAGGAUCCGACGGCCCUGUUCUGUUCCAACGUCUUUAAUGGACAAGGAGAGCCGCAUACCCCAGUGACUUUCCCUUUUGUCUCGUCUGCCAGGAAGCUCGGAGCUAAGUUUGUGCUCAUUUUCAGGAGCUCCCUACAGCCUAGGCUGGUGACUCUCAUCUGGGACCAGUCACCGGGCUGACAACGGGGAGGGGCUGGCCCGGGAGGCGCCCACGCUGCCCAGCAGAGACCCACCUGGGGAGACGCAGGGGCCCUCUCCAUGUCGCCUCAAUGCACAUCCACGGAAAGGAAGCCAACCGGGCCCACUCCUAAGGGACCAGGGAUUGCGGCCACAACGCCUCACGUCUGCACUGUCCACAGGGACAACGACGACCCCACGCUGGCGCCCAGAGACGACCCGCGUGCAAAGCGCCUACCGCCCCCUCUCCAAACUCUCUGCUACGCUGACUGAGACGAAGUUUUCGCAAUUUGGAAUUUCAGAGGAGCACGUGUGUGCUGCGUCCAGAGCCCGCACGUCCAGGCGGCGACUCGGUGGCCCUCACCGGAGCCCAGGGAAGAGCCCGGGCCCCAGAGCUAACCUGCAGCCAGCACGGAACUUCCAGGAUGGGGACACUGUCACUGGAGACCCGCCAUCUCACGCAAGGGCAAUGACACGGAAGGUGAGGUGGAUGCUGAAGGUGCCCCUUGUCUCCUGUGCUGCUGGGCUGCCCUGAGUCCCUGUCCACGCUCAGGCCGCCGGGGCCGGGCACCCCGUCCUGACGGUCCCCGGCAGUUCCAGGUAGGGAGCCACUGGACGGGAUUCAGGAACUUCAGGGGUGGUUUUUAAUGUCACUUGAAAGGCGGCGUCCAAUAAAUCAGAAGAGCAGCUGGAACCUAA